AUGCCCCAUCCUGGAGAGCAGAAGCUGCUGGGAGGGUACCCGCUGCGCUUGGCCACCCAUUGCCACGGUUUUUGGCCACACCAGGUGUGCAGGUUGCUGGGGGAGACCUCAGCAGUCAGGUUUAGCGGUUUGCAAUUAAUACAUUGCAGAGCCCCCUGGAGCAUUACAGCCUACCAUUCAGAGCCUGGACAAGAGCUUGGCCUUGCACUUUUACAGAUCGCUGCCUGUAGCGGAGCACAAAGGGAGCGGCGAGACUCCCACGUCUUUCAGCGAGAAGAAAGGAGGCAGCGGAGCAGACUAACGCGGGCUUGCGUCUGGUGGCCUGGCGGUACAAAGGCUGCCUUUAAAAGAGAAGCGCAGCGUUAUUUAAUGAGCUGUGAGAUGAGGAGGCGCUGCUGCUAACGCUCAGAUCCCGGGAUUCAUCGGCUAUUCAUUGUGCUUAAUGUACAUGUUUCUACACCGUGCAUUUAGGAGAUCCCAGAGAAGAAUCCAAAACGGCUG
ensembl:lncRNA